rnacentral:rRNA from 1 species
CCUACGGGAGGCAGCAGUGAGGAAUACUGGACAAUGGUCGAAAGACUGAUCCAGCCAUGCCGCGUGCAGGAAGACGGCCCUAUGGGUUGUAAACUGCUUUUGUUUGGGAAGAAACCUUUCUACGUGUAGAAAGCUGACGGUACCAUACGAAUAAGCACCGGCUAACUCCGUGCCAGCAGCCGCGGUAAUACGGAGGGUGCAAGCGUUAUCCGGAUUUAUUGGGUUUAAAGGGUCCGUAGGCGGACUUAUAAGUCAGUGGUGAAAUCCUGCAGCUCAACUGUAGAACUGCCAUUGAUACUGUAAGUCUUGAAUUCGGUUGAAGUGGGCGGAAUAUGGCAUGUAGCGGUGAAAUGCUUAGAUAUGCCAUAGAACACCGAUUGCGUAGGCAGCUCACUAAGCCUGGAUUGACGCUGAGGGACGAAAGCGUGGGUAGCGAACAGGAUUAGAUACCCUGGUAGUCCACGCCGUAAACGAUGAUUACUCGACAUUAGCGAUACACGGUUAGUGUCAUAAGACGAAGACGAUUAAGUUAAGUACCGACCGUCGGGGUAAGGUACGGUUCGUUCGAAGAAGUUAGUUAAACGUAACGAAAGGAAGUUAGACGGCGUUGAGACGNGCGACGGACGACGACGAGGGAGGAGG